rnacentral:lncRNA from 12 species
AUGGCAAACAUCCCAAGUACAGUUCAGCAGCUGUUGUUCCUCUACUAUGGGGAUAAAUCCAUCAGCUCUACACUCCAUCAAGAUGACAUAGAGGUAAUGCGGAUGUUAAAAGGAGAGGUGUUUAUGCAGAAUGUGGUCCUAGAUCUGCAGGAGUGGCUCUUCAGAAUAGGUGAAGUCUCCAGGACUUCAUUGGACUUCCACCAUAGGAGAGCCUCAUGUGGCAGGAAGAGCACAAACUUUGAAGUCACUGACUGGGAUAUUCAGUCCUGGUGCCAUCACUUCCUUUUGACUCUAACUCUAAGCAAGCUAAUUGACCCUUUUGGUCCUUAGUUUCCUUAUCUGUAAAGUGGAGAACAGAAUACUUCAUAGAGGAUUAUCUGGUAUAUAGAAAGCAGUUAUCAGUUCUCUACCCUAACUCUGAUUUUCUGGUAGUGAAUGGAAAGUCUUAAUAUUUUCACAGAUUCUUCUUAGGCCCAGGGUUCUAGGGUGACUUCCAUGGGCUGGAAGAACUACAUUGACAUAUCUGGCCAUUGAUUCUGGGCUAGGUAUUUUCAGGUUUGCUGGACCUGGUUAGGUUCCCAUCAGUUGUCUUUCAGUGUAAUUCUCAAUUUCAAGUUACUCCAAUAUAUAGGCGUCCUUCUACUUUUGCAGUUGCUUGCUUUGGGUCUGCUCUGAUUUCUGCCCUAGGAAAGAAUUCUAGAAUCCCAGAAGAUGAGAAGUCCUAUAGUGUAGGCAGUGACAGAGUCACUUAAAAAAAAAUCAGUUUUAGGGGAUCCCUGGGUGGCGCAGCGGUUUAGCGCCUGCCUUUGGCCCAGGGCGCGAUCCUGGAGACCCGGGAUUGAGUCCCACAUCGGACUCCCGGUGCAUGGAGCCUGCUUCUCCCUCCUCCUGUGUCUCUGCCUCUCUCUCAUCUCUCUCUGUGUGACUAUCAUAAAAAAAAAAAUCAGUUUAAAAAAAAUUUAGUCAGGGGAUUACAAAGGUGAAUACUCUGUUCCUAAGUAUUUAUCGAGCACCUACUUUGUGCCAGGCAUGCCUCUGGAAGCUGGAGAUAAAGCAAUGAACAGGUUUUUGCACAUGGAGAUUACAUUCUCCAUUUUAGUGAAGCAGAGAUAGGAGGUCAGUAUGAUAGAAUAUAUAAGUUAAACAAUUCCAUGGGGAGGAUAGUUUAUUCAUGGGGAUAAAAUCCUAUGAGAAAGCAAAACAAUAACAUGAAUAAAAUGGUAUGGUUGAAGGAGCA